rnacentral:rRNA from 1 species
CCUUAGAGUUUGAUCCUGGCUCAGGACGACCUCUGGCGGCGUGCCUAACACAUGCAAGUCGAACGGAGUUGAACUGAGCUUGCGUUUUUCGACUCAGAGGCGUACGGGAGAGUAGCGCAUGAUUAACCGGACUUGCAGACGGGGAUAGCGUUCUGAAGCUAACACUAAUACCGCGUAAUGAUUGUAGUUGCUCAUGGAAGAACAGGGCAAAAGAGCACUCCGGCUGAACCAUCGGACUCCUCUUCCGAUUAUUGUAGAUGGAGGGGCAACAGGCCCACCAAGGUCGACGAUCGGUAGCCGGACUGAGAGGUUGAUCGGCCACAUUGGGACUGAGACACGGCCCAGACUCCUACGGGAGGCAGCAGUGAGGGAUAUUGCACAAUGGGGGAAACCCUGACCCAGCAACGCCGCGUGAGGGAUGACGGUUUUCGGAUUGUAAACUUCUGUCCUCUGUGAAGAUAGUGACGGUAGCAGACGAGGAAGCUCCGGCUAACUACGUGCCAGCAGCCGCGGUAAUACGUAGGGAGCAAGCGUUGUCCGGAUUUACUGGGUGUAAAGGGUGCGUAGGCGGAUUGGCAAGUCAGAAGUGAAAUCCAUGGGCUCAACCCAUGAACUGCUUUCGAAACUGUUAGUCUUGAGUGAAGUAGAGGUAGGCGGAAUUCCCGGUGUAGCGGUGAAAUGCGUAGAGAUCGGGAGGAACACCAGUGGCGAAGGCGGCCUACUGGGCUCCAACUGACGCUGAGGCUCGAAAGUGUGGGUAGCAAACAGGAUUAGAUACCCUGGUAGUCCACACCGUAAACGA